rnacentral:rRNA from 1 species
GAUGAACGCUAGCGAUAGGCUUAACACAUGCCAGUCGAGGGGCAGCAUGGUCUUAGCUUGCUAAGACUGAUGGCGACCGGCGCACGGGUGCGUAACGCGUAUGCAACUUGCCUCACAGAGGGGGAUAACCCGUCGAAAGACGGACUAAUACCGCGUACACUCCAUCUUGGGCAUCCAAGGUAGAGGAAAUGAAAUUCGCUGUGAGAUAGGCAUGCGUCCCAUUAGCUAGUUGGUGAGGUAACGGCUCACCAAGGCGACGAUGGGUAGGGGAACUGAGAGGUUGAACCCCCACACUGGUACUGAGACACGGACCAGACUACUACGGGAGGCAGCAGUGAGGAAUAUUGGUCAAUGGGCGAGAGCCUGAACCAGCCAAGUCGCGUGAGGGAUGACUGUCUUAUGGAUUGUAAACUUCUUUUAUACGGGAAUAACAAGAGUCACGGGUGACUCCCUGCAUGUACCGUAUGAAUAAGCAUCGGCUAACUCCGUG